ACUAGUGGCGGACGGGUGAGUAACGCGUGAGCAAUCUGCCUCUGUUUGGGGGAUAACAGGUAGAAAUACCUGCUAAUACCGCAUAAGACCACAGUCGGGCAUCCGACAGGGGUAAAAGAUUUAUCGAACAGAGAUGAGCUCGCGUCCCAUUAGCUAGUUGGUAGGGUAACGGCCUACCAAGGCUACGAUGGGUAGCCGACCUGAGAGGGUAAUCGGCCACAUUGGAACUGAGAAACGGUCCAAACUCCUACGGGAGGCAGCAG
rnacentral:rRNA from 1 species